rnacentral:rRNA from 1 species
GUCUACGACAAUAACAGAUUGAAAACACCAGGUCUCAUCCGAACCCUGAAGUUAAGCAGUCUCGCGUCGAAGUAGUACCUCUCAGGGAGACCGACAGGGAAAAUUCGAUAUCGUAGGCU